GGCCCUUGCACUUGAACCCUUGCUUUCUGCUCUGAAUGGGGCAACAGCUGCCUAUGAGAAGGGAGCCUUUCCUGCAUGUGCUCACAGUGACUGAGGAGCGGGGACGAACAUAUUUGCCGCAAGCUGCUAUCUCGGGAGGCAGUGAGGGAGGGGAGAAGCUGCCUCAUAGGGACCUGCUCCUGGGUCACCCUCUGUGACCCCCGGACCCAGUGAGUCUUAAAUCAGAGCUUCUCAAACUCCUCUGCACAUGUGCAUUGCCUGGAGAUCUUAAGAUGCAGAUUCUGAUUCAGGAGGCCUGGAACAGGCCCAGAGCUUCUGCACGUCUCCUCGGCCCCAGGUGACGCAGUGCUGCUGGCUCCUGGCCCGUGUUUGAGAGGAGGAAACGGAAGCCCAGGUAAGUUAAGCAAUUUAGCCAAAAUCGCCAAGUCCGCCACCACCUCCCCUCCCACCUUCACUGCAGCACAGCAUGUGCCCCCACCACCUGCUUAGGGAAAGUGACAUUCUUCUCAGGAAGCAGCCCUGCCCUAGGGUGCAUUUGAGUCAAUGAAUUAGUGCAGUUUCCUCUCAGGAAUUUCUGCAGUUCUGGUCUGGUCCCGUUGGAGUUCCCCAUUAUGGCUCAGCAGAAAUGAACUGACUAGUAUCCACGAGGAUACGGGUUCGAUCCCUGGCCUUGCUUAGUGGGUUAAGGAUCUGGUAUUACUGUGGCUGUGGUGUAGGCUGGCAGCUACAUCUCUGAUUUGCCCCCUAGCUUGGAAACUUCCGUAUGCCAUACCUGCGGCCCAAGAGAUGGCAAAAAGACAAAAAAAAAGAAAAAGACCAGACUAGCAAACUAAACUAAGGAGAUUCCAGGCUACAUCAAAAAAGUGAGCACCUACUCCAUAAACCCUGUUUCACCGCAUCAGCAGACUAAAAACCUCCAGGGUGUGUGAGAGGUGUUUGCUCUCAAUCUGGUUACCAGCUGCUCAGGAGGAACUGUGUCCCUCCCCAAGUUCGUAUGUUGAAGUCUAAGCCCCCAGGACCUCAGAAUGUGACUGCGUUUGGACACAAGUCCUUUUUUUUUUAUUAUUUAAAUAAAGUUUUAUUGGAGUUCCUGUCGUGGCACAGUGGUUAACGAAUCCAACUAGGAACCAUGAGGUUGCGUGUUCAGUCCCUGCCCUUGAUCAGUGGGUUAAGGAUCCGGCGUUGCCGUGAGCUGUGGUGUAGGUCACAGAUGCGGCUCGGAUCUGGCAUUGCUGUGGCUGUGGUGUAGGCUAGCAGCUACAGCUCCGAUUUGACCCCUAGCCUGGUUACCUCCGUGUGCCGGGAGCAGCCCAAGAAGUGGCAAAAAGACAAAAAAAAAGUUUUAUUGAAGUCUAGUUGAUCUGCCAGGUUGUGAUAAUUUCUGCUGUACAACAAAGUGAGUUAUCCGUGUACACAUGUUCAUUAUUUCUUCGGAUUCUUCUCCCAUACUGGACAUAGAUCCUUUAAAGAGGCGAAAAUCCUAUAGGACUGGUGUCCUUAUAAGAAGAGGUGAGGACACAGACUCACAGAGGGAAGACAGCCCUUUACAGGCCACCGAGAGAGGCCUCAGGAGAAAGCAAACGUGCCAACACCUUGAUCUUGGAUUUAACGACCUCACAACAGGGAGGAGAUCGUUUGUUUAUAAACCACCCAGUCUGUGGUACUUUGCUCCGGCGGGCCUACGAAACGAACAUACCAGCUAAUAAGAUGGAGACAGAAAGGAGGUAGCGCAUGUCCCCUUGGCAUGUUCUGCAGGAAUGUGUGCUCAGAAUGGCCAUCUCCCAGCAGCGGGAUGCCAGGUGGCAGAGCCUGGUUUCUGAGAAGAUGAGGGCAGGGCAAAGCAGAAUUUCUGUUCCUCAAAUUGCACACACUGCCCCAGUGAGAGAUCUUUUUAAGCUACUUCUAACCAAGUAAUUUAAUAGAGAAAAAAUUGAGAGCAGCAGUGUUCACAACAGCCAAAAGAUAGAAACAUUGCAAAGAAUCAGCAACAGAGGAGCAGAUGGCAUGUGGCGUAUCCACACCACGGAAUAUUCGGUCUUUAAAAGGAAGGAAAUUCCAACACCUGCUACAAUACAAUGUGCGUGGACUUCGAAGACAUUCUGCUAAAGGAAAUAAGCCCGACACGGAGGACAAAUAUUGUAUGAUUUCAUUAAUACGGUAUGUAGAGUAGUCAAAUUCGUUCAGGCAGAAAGUAGAAGACGACUUACCAGGGAUGGGAGUUCCUGUUACAUGGGUAGAGUUGGUGUUUGGAAGGACGGAAAAGUACAGAGAGUCGUGGCAGUUACACGAUGUUAGUACUAUACUCAGUGCCACUAAACUAUGCUCUUAAAAUGAUAAAUAAUCUGUUACGUAGUCUAUCGCAAUUUUACCAGUUUGGCAUAAAUCUAAAAUUAAAAAUUUUUUUUCUCAAAAAUGAAUUGUACUGAGACAUUUUCAGCCUCCUAGUUGAGCAGAAGGUCUUACUGGGAAAGGAAGGUGGAAUUUGGGAUUUUGGCAAUGAAUGGGAGGGAGAGUCUUUCAGAGAAAAGAUUUGUGUGGCUUCAAGUGAGUGAGAUGAGGAGAGUUAGGGUGCUAGGGGGUCAGAGGGAAGAGGAUUGGAAAAGUCCAAUGAGAGAUGUCAACUCUUCUCAAUUUUUUCCCCAGCAGGUUCCUUUCUCACCCCUUCUCCCAACCGUGGCUUGAUUUUCUCCGUAGCUACGUACUUCCCUGUGGAAGCUUUGAGCCUCCAGGCACCCACAGCACUCUCACUUCACACCUGUUUCCCUCUUUACCCAUUAAAGUGUAAUAUCCUGAAAGGUUACACGACUCAGACAAAUAUAAAGUGCUUGCUUAACAUAUUAAUUCUACUUAAUGUAGUAAUUAAUGAAAGAACAAUUAAGAAGUUAGAAACCAGUGCAAAUGAGAUUUAGACCUACAGGAUUUAUAUUUUCUACCAGACAAGAUUCUUUUGCAUGAGCGGGACCCAGCAGCAUUGCUAGAGACAGGACAUGUUUGCAUGACUCUCCCUUUCCUCCAAGUUUACACCUAUCCCUAAGGAUACCCUGUGGAUAACCCUAACCCUUGUAUACUAGUCCAGCCAGAGACAACCUUAGAGGAUCUGGCACUCCUGGGUGGUCUGGGGGACAACACCCCCGCAUUUCAUGGGAAGGAUACCAGUAAUUUCUUGCCCAUUUCCAAACCUUGGCCAGCUUUCCUAGCAUCUCUAUUUUGCAGUGUGUAAGUGGGGGAGUUUGCAGCCAACGCUGUGGGUCUGGUCCAACCUGUCUUGGGCUGAGGGGAAGUCACCCUUUUAGCCGACCUCCUUCCAAGGUCACUUGAGCUUCACGUCUGCAUCCCCGGGCACCCACUAUUACUUGAACUUCUGCCAACAUUCCAGCAUUUUCUGCCCCAGCGUUUACUACUUUGUUGUAUUUAAUCUACCUGUGGCAAAACGCUGCUUGUGGUCCCAGCUCAAUCACCCACAGCCCUCCCUGAUGCUCUGCAUCCACGUCCUUCAUUCUGGGGAGGGAAAACCAAUAUCUGCUCCUUUAGUAUCUUUCUUUCUCGCUCAUUCUGUGGCAUAGGCAGCUAACAGUUCACAAUGGGGCAGAAAAAGGAUCCAGCACUAUAAACAUUUUUAACAAUAUUUGAAGCAUGUACUCAAUUUGAGUGCUUAUUCUGUUAGGCUUUAUAGUAAGAGGUUAGAUAGAUUUUUAUUCUAAAGCCUUUCCAAUCUGGGGGGUAACAGCCAGGAAAUCAGAUCAUUAGCAAACUGAGAAUCUGAGAAAUGCCACCACCGUGUAUGGCCUUCUGAUGCCCUCACCUUUUAGAGGCCUGUUGCUUUGCCCAAAUUCCACAUAGCUGUAAGCCUUGGAGCACACAGCCUGUGAGUUCCUUCGAGUACCUGUUAUUGUGUACAAGGAAUGACUUAUUGGGACAAGCCAUGGCCACCCCCACCCCGUACCGCAGAAUGUGACCUUGUUUGGAAAUAGAGUCCUUGAAGAUGUAAUCAGUUAAGAUGAGGACAGACUUCCUGUCCUGGCUCAGUGGUAAUGAGCCCGACUGGUAUCCAUGAGGACGAACAUUCGAUCCCUGGCCUCGCUCAGUAGGUUAAGGAUCCAGUGUUGCUGUGGGCGGUGGUGGAGGUCACAGACACGGCUCAGAUCUGGCAUUGCUGUGGCUGUGGCGUAGGCCAGCGGCUCCAGCUCCAAUUCGACCCAAGCCUGAGAAUUACCGUAUGCUGAGGGUGUGGC
rnacentral:lncRNA from 1 species